UUUUUUUUUUUUUUUUUUUUUGCAGAAUGUCCCUCAGUUUGGGUUUUGUCUGAUGUUUUCCUUAUGAUUAGACUGAGGCCAUGGGUUUUUGGGAGGAAGACCAGAGGUAAAAUGUUCUUUUCAUCACAUAUCAAGUGCACAUGCUAGCAACGUGACUUACCACUGAUGAUGUCAACCUUGCCCAGCUCUCUGAAGCAGUGUUAGUUACUGUGUUAGUAACUAUAAAUUACUUUCUACUCCUCUUUCCAUUCUCCUUUCUUUGGAAGUAAGUCACUAUCCCAAACCGCACUCAAGGUGUAGGGGUGGUAAGCUUUACCUCCUGGAGGGGGGAUUAUUGAUAUAAAUUAUUUGGAAUUCCUCUGUAAGGAAGAUUUGUCUCUUCUCCCUAUUUAUUCAUUCAGUCAUUUAAUUAUAUCAAUUAAUACUUUUUUAUAUUUUGGGUUAUAACCCAAUAUUGUUUAUUCUGUUGAUCAGAUUGUUCCAGCUUUGGCUGUUGGGAGUUCUUUUAGAUUGGUUCCUGUGUCCCUUUGACAUGUCCCCUGUCCCAAUGUUCUUGAAUCGGCCAUUUCUCCAAGGAGCCCUAGUUUUAUAUUGGAAAAUGGUAUUAGAAACCAAGAUAUGGGCACUGGAUGUGUACAUUGUUACUGGGGUGUCACUACUUCUUCGCCUUUCAGUGUACAGAUAUAUGGAUGUGAACCCAAGUUUAUAUAAAUAUCUGUAAUUAUUUAUCUGUUCAUCUCUAUGUUAAGCUAAAUAGGAGUUUAUACUAACUUCAGCUGAUUCAUUGCCUUCCCUCCUUGCUUAUCUGUAACUUCCCUCUCUGACUAUGAGAAACUUGGCAUCCAUCACCACCAUCCCAGUAACUACACUGUAAGCGUGGACUUUCUCCCUGUCCCCGUCACUAGGCUGUUAGUAUCUUAGACACUUAUUAAAUCUUUGUUGAUGAGUGAUGAAUCUUGAAGCUGUUAUGUAUCUUACCUAAUAAAAGUUUAGCAUUUUAGCAAAAGCAAUGUAAAUCAAUCUUGUAAAGUUUGAAACAAAACUUUUAACUGCUUUGUUAUGUAACAUGUAUUCAUUGUAGAAAAUAUGAAAAGUGAGAAGGAAAAAAAGCACCUGUUAUUCUAUCACCCAGAGAUAAUACUUAAUAUGUAGACUAUUGUGUCAAAGAAUGCACUGCAGUACCGGGGAAAUUCCCAGCAUGAUGCCCAGGAGUUUCUGCUGUGGCUUUUGGACCGAGUUCAUGAAGACCUCAACCAUUCAGUGAAGCAGAGUGGCCAGCCUCCUCUGAAGUAAGACACAUACUCUGUAGUUCACUGGAAUGAAUACACAAUCAUAAAGGAAACGUCCUUUUGUGCCUGAACACUCUAUUCUGUCAUAUGACUAUAUGCGUGUGGCUGACUCUCCCACCAAAUUGAGACAUCCUCAAGCCACCGUCAGAGACUGAUAUGAUGCCUGAGGGACCAUCUUUUCCUGUCUGUAGCACUUUUGUACAAGAACUCUUUCAAGCCCAAUAUAGAUCUUCUUUGACGUGUCCUCAUUGUCAGAAACAGAGCAACAC